GGAUCACUGUGUAAUGGUUUACUUUUCAUUUUUUUUCGAUGAGAAUCCUCAAUAGACUGCCCUCACUCCUAGAAGAAUAUAUAUUGAGGCGGGUAGUGUGGUUGCCACUGCACUCCACAGUAGCUGGGGUUUGCUUUUUCAGUGUAACGUUUUUUCCCCCCAAUUCCGGUUUUGAAUUCUGGACAUAUUCAUAAACCACUCAAUUGUAAGCUCACGGGCCAUCUAGCUAAGCACUUUGUAUAAAAGAGCUCCAAUGGCUAGAUAUCAGCUUACGGGCAGGGCUCUCUUACCGUUUGUGUAUAUUGUACAUUUCUCAACUAAUUGUACAGCGCUGCGGAAUCUGUGUGCGCUUUAUAAAUAGCAAUAAUAAAUAAAUAAAAUAAAACCUUUGGCCUCAUAGAUUGACUCCUGCCUGACACUGGUCAACAUAGAAUCCAUCAGUCAUAGGGUAACUUCAUGACAUACAUGGUCCCAUGAAUUGUGGGCAGCUUUGGACGCAUGUCCAAUAACCGCCUAAGAAAGAGCAAUGUUUGUGUGGGUGGUCGGGAGUGGGGUGUUAUGUCACCUGACCUACUUGAUGGCAUUAUUUGCCCAUUAAACAAGCACAUUAUGUUUCAGUUUUCAAACUAUUUCUUUUUUAAUACAUUACGCAUAUUGUAAUGGAACACCUAUAAUAUUCUAAUUUCCUUCACACUUGCAUGGACAGGUGUGGUCUGGUAUAAAAAUGUACUGGGUGUGUGUGUUCAUAUGAUGCUAUGCAUGUUCGGUGAAUGUCUUCUAGCAUUCCUGCGGCUAGUGGCCUUAGUGAAUAGAGGACCAUGGAUCACAAUUUGCCAAACCGUCCUUCAAAUAUACCAAUAAGAUAGAAUUUCAUGGUAUCCAUGCUUAGGCACAGGUGACUUCAGUAUUGGCUUCAUCCUUUUAAGAUAUCUGUUUUUCCCAAACCUUUUGGGUGGGUUCUAGCUCUGAGUGACUGACUUACACAUACAACACAACUCUAUAUUGUGAACAUUCUAAUGUGAUUUGUGCUCCUGGUUUUAAUUUAUAAACUUAAAUGAAAUGCCCAGAACUUUGGAUCUAUGCAGUUGGAUAAGGGCCAAGUAAAAACACGCAGGGCGUUGUAAGGUAAUCCUCUUAGCAGCUGAACAGAUGGAACUUUUUAAGUUCCACUCUAUAGAAGACUGUUUUCCUGAGUAAAAGCCAUUAUUAUAUUCUGAUUCCUAUAUAUUGGCUUUGGUAAAAAAAAAAAAAAAAUACAGCAUUCCACAGAG